rnacentral:rRNA from 1 species
UACGUAGGGACCGAGCGUUGUCCGGAAUCAUUGGGCGUAAAGAGCGUGUAGGCGGCCUUUUAAGUCCUGCGUGAAAUCCUGCGGCUCAACCGCAGACGGUCGUGGGAAACUGGAAGGCUAGAGUGCGGGAGAGGAGAGUGGAAUUCCCGGUGUAGCGGUGAAAUGCGCAGAUAUCGGGAAGAACACCCGUGGCGAAGGCGGCUCUCUGGAACGCAACUGACGCUGAGAGG